CUUCUCUUUCAAAGAUGGACUGGGGAAAGACAUUAAGUUCGGAGCAGCCCAAGGCUGCGGAUCUAGCCUUUCUCCCUCCGGCCUCCAGACCCACGCAGGUCCAGGCAGCCAAGCAGAGACAGCGGAGCCCCGGUGCGCGGUUCAGGCCUGGUCAACAGGUAGGAGGGCCGGACUGGGGGCCAAGCACAGAGGAGGGCAGGCCCGCCCGCGCCAGCGUCCAGGGUCCCGGGUCCCGGGACUGGAGGAGGUCGCCGGCAGCCCGCGCUUCCAGAGGAUUGAGAUUGGGUGAACGAGACCUGAAGACCCUCUCGGUCUGGACCCCGACUUUCGGUCUGCUUAGAGACCUAAGCCGCGAGCCUUUGGCCACACGGAGAAACGUACUAACAACCCUGUACUGCCGUGUCUGGAGGUUGCGGGAACGAGACUGUGUCUCCCUUUGGGAAAAGUACUGGGGACUUCUUUAUAUCCUACUUCUCCUGGACUCCAUAAGUUACAGGACCGAAGAAAACUGAGAAAUAGAGAAAAGGUGCCGCUUGCCCCUUAACUCCAGAAAAGGGUGGCUGCAGACGGAGCGGCUUGGACUUUAUUUUUACAUUGUGGGAAACCCGCCGGCAGCGGCUUAUGCUAAUUGAUUUUCCCAGUUCCCAGCCCUGGGUGUCUAGCUAUCUCCAGGCCAGUUUGCAUUUUUCUUUUUCUUUCUUUCUUUCUUUUCUUCAAGACCUGAAGCUCGAGGCCCGCUGCCCGCUGCCCGCUGCCCGUGAGUUUCCUCCGAGUUUCCAGAAGCUUCACCAUCCAGCUCCUUCUCCAGUUGAGGCAACUCACAAGGUUCGUCGGGUGAAUUUCCCCUUCAGAGGACAGACAAGCACCACUGUGGAGGACAAGCACCAUUGGGGAGGCAGUUAGAGUCUAGUGGCGGCGGGGGACUUUACAGUCAGACUGCUGAAAAAUCUUCAUUGCUGAGACAAAGGAAAACCCACUUCCUUGGAGGAGCAUGACCUUUUCCUGUAUUGCUUCCCACUGCUGUUGUUGAGCUCCUUGGACCCUGACUCCUGGACACCAUCAUCAAGAAGACUUUAUGGAUGAGCUAUCCACCCACUGAGAGAAGAGGAGCAUCAGCUACAGUUUCUCUCUAGAUUGCCUUCUUCAUUUUGAGUAAUGACUGUCAGCAGGGUCAGAUUAAAGACAAAACAACUGGACAAUUGCUUGGAGGACUAAACUAUAAGGGCACUAACAUAUCAGUAGUAUGCUAACACAUCCAUGGAAAAUAUAUUUACCAGCCCUUCUCUCAGGGAGGAGUCUGUGUGGGGUUGGAAGGAAUAGUCUGUUAAAUUCCUUAGGGGUAGAAAGUAGGGCAUAAUCAGAAUGUAGAGGAGCAUGCUGUUUGACUUCAGGGUUUCUGUUUUUCUUACUAGGAUAUAUAAAACAAGGACUCUAGCUAGAUUGUUUAUGACCACAGAGGGUAGGCUGAGUGCUCCCAUGAUCUUCCUGCUUGAUUCUUGCCCCUACAGACCUCAGCCUUUCCUCUAAUAAAGAUUGAACAAGUAGUGGUCUGAGGGAGACACCAAUUCAUUACCCUACAUGUCUCUUCUUUGCACUCUAGGGCUUUGAUAAUAAAGACACUGGCAGACUAUCUAUCUUCCAUUUCUAUAAUGUGAGCCCUUAGGGAGUCUUUGUUCACUUGUGGGUGACAGUCAUUGUUCACAGAGUAGUUCAAGUCAAAUGGAACUUGAACUCUUUGCCUAUGGGCCUGGUGGUCGGACUCUGUGUUGAGUUCAUUAGAUUAUUGGGAACACAAAGUAGAGCUGGGCCCUUCAAAAAUAUUUGGCUAAAGGAUGACAUUGCUGGUUAUUUGUAGAUAAAGCCAUCAUGGAACAUGCUUGGAAUUAUGAAAUAUGGAACUGGUGGUCAUGUUUAAUAAUACAACUAAUAGUUAAGUAACUACUGGAUACUGUAGAGACUUAGAAGCAAGACAGACAUGGUUCCUGCCCCCAUGGAGCUUACACUGUAGCUUUCCCUUAGGUAUGAAGAACAGUGGCUACAACUAAUAAAUGGUUAUAAAGAUAUCAUUGAGCCAGUGUUCCAGUUAUUAGAAUAAUUCCUAUUUCCUUAAUCAUGCCUAUUGAUCAUGUUCUAUAAGCCUGCAUUCUAUAAAUGGCCUGUAAGCAUGGGCUGUUUCCCCCCAGCAAGUUGUACAAAGUUCUGUGGUACCAGGCAAAGGGCUUAAGGUUAGCAGGGUCUCUGGGGAAGGACAUAUGAAGUGACUUGGGUCAGGAAACAGGAAGGGAUAGGUUUCAAGAACAGCUAUCGCUUCUGUUCUAUAUAGAAAACUGCAGGAUGAAAAAUGCUGGGCCCCAGCAUUUUUGAGACCUGGGUGUUAGUUUGUGUUCUAAUACUAACAAGCUGUGUGACUGUGGGUAAGUCAUUUCACAUUCCACUUGGAUGCCUCUUGAGUGACUCCAGGCCUCUCCAGCUCUAAAACAUUAAGAUCAGGCCCUAUGCUACAGCUGGCCUUAUGUAAUUCUCCUGUUUCUACACUGUUAGGUCAAAUCAAUCUUCAAUAGUUACUUGAUUGUUGUUACUUUUUUCUGAAGCGGGUGUUUUACCAAUGUUUCAGGAUACAGUGAGUCUGCUUCUUCCCUUUGGAGUUAGGAAGGUUGUAGCACUAUACACUGUAGAGCUUAUGGAAGCUUUAUUCCUUCCUUUUUUCCCCCUUACCUUUCUCCCGCUCCUUCCCUUUCUCAAACAUUUCUAUUGAGCAUAUACCAUUGCCAUGUACCAGGUGUGUGCUAGGUUUGGAGAUACAAGGUAAACCUGAGAGUUUCCUAGACUCCAGGAGACAAAACCCUUAUUUCUUUCAUCUGCUGGCUUUCUCUUUGGAAAGAAUCAACAAUGUCCCAGGGGAGUGUGCCCAUGUCCCAGGGUAACCAACUACAGACAGAUGCCCCAUUCUACUCAAGCAACUUUUAGAGUGCCUUGAGAUACACAUCAGUUAAUUAUUCGGGGCCGGGCAUGAUGCUGUACACCUGUAGUCACAGCACUUUGGGUGGCUGAGGCAGCAGAUUGCUUGAGCUCAGGAAUUCAAGACUAGACUAGAGAACAUGGCAAAACCCCAGCUCUACAAAAACAUACAAAAAUUAGCUGCGUGUGGUGGCCCCUGACUGUAGUACAAGCUACUCAGGAGACUGAGGUGGGAGAAUUGCUUGAGCCUGUGAGGUUGAGUCUGCAGUGAGCUGAGAUCAUGCCAUUGCAUUCCAGCCUCGGUGACACAGGGAAACCCUGUCUUAAAAAAAAAAAAAAAAAAAAAAUCAUUCAGUCCUAGUGUCAUUGUGAAAAGAUCUGUCUUCAGAUAUAAGGAAGAAACAAUCUUUUAUUUCUUAGGAUAAAUCUGUAGAAGGACCUCCAGACAGUGAAGGCCACUGACUACUUUAUACUCUGUAACCCAUCCCUUCCCUGGUAGGAAGGACUACUUUCUAAACUUACAAAGUACCUCUCAGCAAAUAGACAUUUUUAUGUAUACUGUGAUUCUUACAUCCCUAUGGGUGGUGACUUCUUUAAAAAGGAAAGGAAAAAGCCUAAUCAGACAAAAAGAUGUUGCUAUUAAUUCUUACCCUAUUGUGAAUCCUAUAUAAGCAAAUUUGUAUCUAUGUUUUUUCCAACAUUAGCAGAUCUAUUUGAUGUAUAUCUCUGAGUGUAGAAAAUAUUUUAUGGAAAAAUCAAUCUAUGGAAUUUCAAAUUUGAAAUUGCUGAUACACACUAUUUGGUUUCAGAAUUUUAUCCUAGGACAUAGUAUUAGGGAUUUCAAUUUCUGGCUUAAAUGGUAGAAUUAAUUACUCUUAACUCUUAAUUUUACUUCUGAGUUGAGGUCAAGGAACAGGUAGACACCUCCAGUUAAUGUCUAUACCUCUCCAUGGCCAAGAACUUUAAUUUUCUCGUUUUCAGUUUUGUAGAUGUACAUCGUUACUAAAUGGAUUGAUUAGUAUUUUAUCUCCUCUCCUUGUCCUUACUUUCCCUCUGGUAAAUAUGUUAUAAACAGUGUAAGGCUCAUAAGAUAGAAUAGCUGGUAGGACUUAGAAGAGAAACAUAAUUCACAUAAAUGGAAAUAACUCAAAUAACUGGAACUUAGAAGAGAAACUGGACUAAGAAGAGAAACAUAACUCACAUGAAUGGAAAAUUGGCCCUGGAAUAAUUGACAACAUAUUCAAGUAUUUUAGUUCAGUGUCACUCUCAUUAAGAAGAAGAGAAUCAGUAAAUCUAUGUGACUCUAAACAUUUUAAUGAAAAGAGGACUAUUCUGUCAAUCAUCUCACAUUUUAAAAUAUCUGAAUAUUGGCCAUUGUAAAGACAAAACAUACAGAUGAUGGACUUGUCUUUCUACCUCUCAUUUGCAUGGUUUGGAGCAUUGUACCUCCAGCCAUUGACUCUAAGGCAAUUUAUAUUUGCUUCCUCUUCCCUCUUGAGAGAAAACAAAAAUCUUAUUUUUCCAAGCAAUUAAAACUCUCUUCUGCUUCAGCUAGGAUGAAAGAAUUAGGAGUUAUGUCUCCUUGUAUCUAAUUGCAUGUUUCAUCUUUCUUGUUUUAAUGAUUGACAGAAAACUAAUAAACUGAGACAUCUUUGAAUCAAGGUUGAAUGUACUCUCUUGGUGGCCCCAUUGCUAAUUUGUUUGACUAUUUUGCAGGAUUUCUUACUCUGUAAUGGAAAGGUUUAUUAAAUAUGAGGGGUGCAAA